rnacentral:lncRNA from 1 species
ACAGAAGCCCCAUCCCCACAGCCACAGGCACCAAGGCGAUAGAGAAAGAAAGAGCAGGGAGGCGGGCGAAGCGCAGGGAGAGAAGCAGAGAAGAAAUAUUCACCUUCCCGCCUCAUGCCCACUUUGAGGCACUUCUUGAGGCGGCAGUAUUGGCACUGGUUGCGAUGGUGCUGGUCGAUGGGACAGUUCCUGUUGGCACGGCAUGUGUGACCUUGGAAUGGUGUAGCCGAGUGCUGCAGAUUGUUUCAAUCGUUCUGCCGAAUACUCCUCAUUUGUGCCUGAGAGGAACUCAAGACUUUAUGUAUGGCCAUUGCUGGGAUCCAGUGUGAUGCUCUACUUUUCCACUGAACUCUACUAUAUUUAAGCUGUUGUUGAGGAAGGAGCUUUGGCAAUAGAAGUAACCAAGUAGCAGGUUUAUUUCCACUGUUGACACAACUGGAGACGGAUCCCUACUUUAUGCAUGGUAGAUGCUAUGAAGACUACUCUGUCCGAUGGUUCCCUACUGGGAUAUUGAAGUAUGAUGCUUCAUUGGUUGAGUGUAUGCAAUCAAAAUAAGAGUGAAAAAGGAAGAUCUGGGAGGUGGGCAGAUGCUUGCUGGGUAAACUAUUUGUGACAUAAACUUAAAAAUCCCACAGGAAAGCCAGAUGUUGUCAUGUGCCUCUAACCACAAUUCUGAUAUUAAAUUGGGGCUUACUGGUCAGUGACUAGCCAAAAUGGUGAGCUUCAUGUGCUGAGAGAACUACCUAUCUCAAAAAAUAAGGUGAAAGGGCUGGAGAGGUGGCAAAGAAGUUAAGAGCACUGACUGAUCUCUCAGAGGAGAACAUAGGUUCAACUCCUAGCACCCACAUAGCAGCCAACAACUAUCUGUAACUCCAGUCACAGGGGACCUAAUGCCUUCUUAUAUCCUCAGUGAACACUGUACAUAUAUUGUGCAUAGACAUACAUUCAGUCAAACAAACACUCAGAUACAUAAAAAUGAAUGAAAUCUCAAAGUAUUUUGAAAAGAUAAUGUGAAGGGUGAUUGAGGCCUUAUAUUAAUCUUUAGACUUUGCAAAAUGAGUUUUACACACACACAAAACACUCACUAUGGGUACACACACAUAUAUACACUAAUACACACACUUAAAAAAUGUUAUUGCUUACAAUUUUUUUGAUAACUUGUCUUAGAAUUUUUAUUAUUGAUUUCAUUAUAAUAUCUAUGUUGAGUCUACAAUAAAUCUUUAUGCUGGAACUAGACUUCAGGAUUAUUAUAAGAUACAUUUAAUGUAUAAAUUUGAGUUCAUAAUGGCUAGAAUAAUUAUUUUAUGGCUGUGGUAAUAAAGCAUCAUUAUCUUCUUAGAUCUAAUGUAAGAUUCAAACUCUGACCCGCUGACUUCCAAGCCCCUUCUUAGAAGUGCUGAAUUAAACUGCAUGAAGCU